rnacentral:rRNA from 1 species
CCUACGGGAGGCAGCAGUGGGGAAUAUUGCACAAUGAGCGAAAGCCUGAUGCAGCGACGCCGCGUGAGUGAUGAAGCGCCUCGGCGUGUAAAGCUCUGUCAGCAGGGACGAAAAUUACGGUACGUGAAGAAUUAGCCCCGGCUAACUACGUGCCAGCAGCCGCGGUAAAACGUAGGGGGCGAGGGUUAUCCGGAUUUUAUGGGUGUAAAGUGAGCGUAGACGGUGUGGCAAGUCUGGAGGGAAAGGCCGGGGCCCAACCCCGGGACCGCGCUGGAUACUGGCCGGCUGGAGUGCGGGAGAGGUAAGCGGAAUUCCUAGUGUAGCGGUGAAAUGCGUAGAUAUUAGGAAGAACACCAGAGGCGAAGGCAGCUUACUGGACCGUGACUGACGUUGAGGCUCGAAAGCGUGGGGAGCAAACAGGAUUAGAUACCCCUGUAGUC